UACGUAGGGUGCAAGCGUUGUCCGGAAUUAUUGGGCGUAAAGAGCUCGUAGGCGGUCUGUCGCGUCGGCUGUGAAAACCCGGGGCUCAACCCCGGGCCUGCAGUCGAUACGGGCAGACUAGAGUGUGGUAGGGGAGACUGGAAUUCCUGGAGUAGCGGUGAAAUGCGCAGAUAUCAGGAGGAACACCGGUGGCGAAGGCGGGUCUCUGGGCCAUAACUGACGCUGAGGAGCGAAAGCGUGGGGAGCGAACAGG
rnacentral:rRNA from 1 species